rnacentral:rRNA from 1 species
AUGAAAUUAGCUGCCGGCGGCCGCGGGCGCCACGGCGCGGUCGGCCGAGCGCGCCGUGAUGCACCGGUAGGCGACGGUGGCGAGCCAGAACGCCCAGGGGAGCGCCACGAGGCCCAGGCCGACGCAGGGGAUCCAUCCGGGCGCCUCGCUCGGCGGCAGCAGGACGUAGGCCACGAGGCACCCGCCGCCGCCGAGCACGGCGAGGAGCAGCAGCACCGUCACCACCCAAAUCAACACGCUGCUGGCCGGCCGCCCGCACUGCUCCCCCUCCUGGGGCGGCGCCAUUGGUCUAUCGUCGCCGGUGGACCGGAGCUCAGAAAGACGCAAGGGCGGCGAGGACGGACGCGGAGGCGCUGGUCAAGGAGAGCAAGAAGAGGGCGGCGUGCAUCGCCAGUGUGGCCUCCGAUCCUCACCUUGUUGCCUUCCUGUUCGUGGACCAAGAACAGAGAAAAUGUGCCAAAAAAGUUCUGA